ACGAAUAUUGCGCAAUGGACGAAAGUCUGACGCAGCGACGCCGUGUGAAGGAUGACGCCCUUCGGGGUGUAAACUUCUGUCAGGGUGAAGAAAGGCGAAAGCUUGAUCGAUCCCAGAGGAAGGACCGGCUAACUUCGUGCCAGCAGCCGCGGUAAUACGAAGGGUCCAAGCGUCGUUCGGAAUUACUGGGCUUAAAGCGCGCGUAGGCGGGAUAGUAAGUGUCUUGUGAAAGCCCCCGGCUCAACCGGGGAAUUGCUUGGCAUACUGUUAUCCUUGAGGCAAGUAGGGGUGCAUGGAACUCUAGGUGGAGCGGUGAAAUGCGUAGAUAUCUAGAGGAACGCCAGUAGUGAAAACGGAGCACUGGGCUUGUUCUGACGCUGAGGUGCGAAAGCGUGGGGAGCGAACGGGAUUAGAUGCCCCGGUAGUCCACGCUGUAAACGAUGUCUACUAGGUCGUGGCGGUUCUGACGCCGGCGCGGCCGGAGUGAAAAUUUUAAGUAGACCGCCUGGGGAGUACGGUCGCAAGGCUAAAACUCAAAGGAAUUGACGGGGGCUCACACAAGCGGUGGAGCAUGUGGCUUAAUUCGAAGCAACGCGCAGAACCUUAUCCUGGGUUUGACAUAUUAGGAUGCCCUCCCUGAAAGGGGAGUAAGCUGCCUUCGGGUGAAACUAUUACAGGUGCUGCAUGGCUGUCGUCAGCUCGUGUCGUGAGAUGUCGGGUUAAGUCCCUCAACGAGCGAAACCCUUAUCAUUAGUUACCAGCGGGUCAUGCCGGGGACUCUAAUGAGACUGCCGGUGUUAAACCGGAGGAAGGUGGGGAUGACGUCAAGUCCUCAUGGCCUUUAUGCCCAGGGCUGCACACGUGCUACAAUGGCAUGGACAAACCGACGCAAUACCGUGAGGUGGAGCAAAUCGGACAAACCGUGCCUCAGUUCGGAUUGUAGGCUGCAACUCGCCUACAUGAAGUCGGAAUCGCUAGUAAUCGCAGAUCAGCAAUGCUGCGGUGAAUAUGUUCCUGAGCAUUGUACACACCGCCCGUCAAGUCACGGGAGCCGGGAGUACCUGAAGUCGGGUAGCUAAC
rnacentral:rRNA from 1 species